rnacentral:rRNA from 1 species
UACGUAGGUGGCAAGCGUUGUUCGGAAUUAUUGGGCGUAAAGAGCUUGUAGGCGGUUUGUCGCGUCUGCUGUGAAAUUUCGGGGCUCAACCCCGAACUUGCAGUGGGUACGGGCAGACUAGAGUGUGGUAGGGGAGACUGGAAUUCCUGGUGUAGCGGUGAAAUGCGCAGAUAUCAGGAGGAACACCGAUGGCGAAGGCAGGUCUCUGGGCCACUACUGACGCUGAGAAGCGAAAGCGUGGGGAGCAAACAGG